rnacentral:rRNA from 1 species
AUGAACGCUGGCGGCGUGCCUAACACAUGCAAGUCGAGCGAUCUUCUUCGGAAGAGAGCGGCGGACGGGUGAGUAACGCGUGGGUAACCUGCCCUGUACACACGGAUAACAUACCGAAAGGUAUGCUAAUACGGGAUAACAUAAGAAAGUCGCAUGGCUUUCUUAUCAAAGCUUUUGCGGUACAGGAUGGACCCGCGUCUGAUUAGCUAGUUGGUAAGGUAACGGCUUACCAAGGCGACGAUCAGUAGCCGACCUGAGAGGGUGAUCGGCCACAUUGGAACUGAGACACGGUCCAAACUCCUACGGGAGGCAGCAGUGGGGAAUAUUGCACAAUGGGCGAAAGCCUGAUGCAGCAACGCCGCGUGAGCGAUGAAGGCCUUCGGGUCGUAAAGCUCUGUCCUCAAGGAAGAUAAUGACGGUACUUGAGGAGGAAGCCCCGGCUAACUACGUGCCAGCAGCCGCGGUAAUACGUAGGGGGCUAGCGUUAUCCGGAAUUACUGGGCGUAAAGGGUGCGUAGGCGGUCUUUCAAGUCAGAAGUGAAAGGCUACGGCUCAACCGUAGUAAGCUUUUGAAACUGUAAGACUUGAGUGCAGGAGAGGAGAGUGGAAUUCCUAGUGUAGCGGUGAAAUGCGUAGAUAUUAGGAGGAACACCAGUUGCGAAGGCGGCUCUCUGGACUGUAACUGACGCUGAGGCACGAAAGCGUGGGGAGCAAACAGG